rnacentral:rRNA from 1 species
GAGACAGGUGCUGCGUGGCUGUCGUCAGCUCGUGUCGUGAGAUGUUCGGGUUAAGUCCCGUAACGAGCGCAACCCUUGUCCUUAUUUGCCAUCAUUAGUUGGGCACUCUAAGGAGACUGCCGGUGACAAACCGGAGGAAGUGGGACGACGUCAAGUCAUCAUGGCCCUUACGACCAGGGCUACACACGUGCUACAAUGGGCGGUACAAAGGGUUGCAAGACCGCGAGGUGGAGCUAAUCCCAUAAAACCGUUCGUAGUCCGGAUUGGAGUCUGCAACUCGACUCCAUGAAGUCGGAAUCGCUAGUAAUCGUAAAUCAGCAUGUUACGGUGAAUACGUUCCCGGGCCUU